rnacentral:rRNA from 1 species
GAUGAACGCUGGCGGCGUGCCUAAUACAUGCAAGUCGAGCGAACGGACGAGAAGCUUGCUUCUCUGAUGUUAGCGGCGGACGGGUGAGUAACACGUGGAUAACCUACCUAUAAGACUGGGAUAACUUCGGGAAACCGGAGCUAAUACCGGAUGAUAUUUUGAACCGCAUGGUUCAAAAGUGAAAGACGGUCUUGCUGUCACUUAUAGAUGGAUCCGCGCUGCAUUAGCUAGUUGGUAAGGUAACGGCUUACCAAGGCAACGAUGCAUAGCCGACCUGAGAGGGUGAUCGGCCACACUGGAACUGAGACACGGUCCAGACUCCUACGGGAGGCAGCAGUAGGGAAUCUUCCGCAAUGGGCGAAAGCCUGACGGAGCAACGCCGCGUGAGUGAUGAAGGUCUUCGGAUCGUAAAACUCUGUUAUUAGGGAAGAACAUAUGUGUAAGUAACUGUGCACAUCUUGACGGUACCUAGUCAGAAAGCCACGGCUAACUACGUGCCAGCAGCCGCGGUAAUACGUAGGUGGCAAGCGUUAUCCGGAAUUAUUGGGCGUAAAGCGCGCGUAGGCGGUUUUUUAAGUCUGAUGUGAAAGCCCACGGCUCAUCCGUGGAGGGUCAUUGGAAACUGGAAAACUUGAGUGCAGAAGAGGAAAGUGGAAUUCCAUGUGUAGCGGUGAAAUGCGCAGAGAUAUGGAGGAACACCAGUGGCGAAGGCGACUUUCUGGUCUGUAACUGACGCUGAUGUGCGAAAGCGUGGGGAUCAAACAGGAUUAGAUACCCUGGUAGUCCACGCCGUAAACGAUGAGUGCUAAGUGUUAGGGGGUUUCCGCCCCUUAGUGCUGCAGCUAACGCAUUAAGCACUCCGCCUGGGGAGUACGACCGCAAGGUUGAAACUCAAAGGAAUUGACGGGGACCCGCACAAGCGGUGGAGCAUGUGGUUUAAUUCGAAGCAACGCGAAGAACCUUACCAAAUCUUGACAUCCUUUGACAACUCUAGAGAUAGAGCCUUCCCCUUCGGGGGACAAAGUGACAGGUGGUGCAUGGUUGUCGUCAGCUCGUGUCGUGAGAUGUUGGGUUAAGUCCCGCAACGAGCGCAACCCUUAAGCUUAGUUGCCAUCAUUAAGUUGGGCACUCUAAGUUGACUGCCGGUGACAAACCGGAGGAAGGUGGGGAUGACGUCAAAUCAUCAUGCCCCUUAUGAUUUGGGCUACACACGUGCUACAAUGGACAAUACAAAGGGCAGCGAAACCGCGAGGUUAAGCAAAUCCCAUAAAGUUGUUCUCAGUUCGGAUUGUAGUCUGCAACUCGACUACAUGAAGCUGGAAUCGCUAGUAAUCGUAGAUCAGCAUGCUACGGUGAAUACGUUCCCGGGUCU